rnacentral:rRNA from 1 species
UGGGGAAUAUUGCACAAUGGAGGGAACUCUGAUGCAGCGACGCCGCGUGAACGAAGAAGGCUUUCGAGUCGUAAAGUUCUUUUAUAUGGGAAGAUAAUGACGGUACCAUAAGAAAAAGCCCCGGCUAACUACGUGCCAGCAGCCGCGGUAAUACGUAGGGGGCUAGCGUUUUCCGGAAUCACUGGGCGUAAAGGGUUCGCAGGCGGAAAUGCAAGUCAGGUGUAAAAGGCAGUAGCUUAACUACUGUAAGCAUUUGAAACUGCAUAUCUUGAGAAGAGUAGGGGUAAGUGGAAUUUUUAGUGUAGCGGUGAAAUGCGUAGAUAUUAAAAAGAAUACCGGUGGCGAAGGCGACUUACUGGGCUCAUUCUGACGCUGAGGAACGAAAGCGUGGGUAGCAAACAGG